rnacentral:Y_RNA from 1 species
AGUUGGGUGACGCGAUGGUAGUGGGUUAUCUGGACUUAUUAACAUUAGUGUCACUAAAGUUGAUAUAUACCCUCCAUUGCUAAAUUUGACUGGCUUUAA